rnacentral:tRNA from 1 species
GAGAGUAUAGCUCAGUGGUAGAGCACAUGCUUAGCAUGCAUGAGGUCAUGGGUUCGAUCCCCUAGUAUCUCU